CUUGCCUUAGCUCAAUGGUAGAGCAUCCAGCUCUCAUGCAGAAGGUCCCAAGUUCAAUUCCUAACAUAUCCAGGCAAGA